rnacentral:rRNA from 1 species
UACGUAGGGUGCGAGCGUUGUCCGGAAUUAUUGGGCGUAAAGAGCUCGUAGGCGGUCUGUCGCGUCUGCUGUGAAAACCCGAGGCUUAACCCCGGGCGUGCAGUGGAUACGGGCAGGCUGGAGGCAGGCAGGGGAGAACGGAAUUCCCGGUGUAGCGGUGAAAUGCGCAGAUAUCGGGAGGAACACCGGUGGCGAAGGCGGUUCUCUGGGCCUGUACUGACGCUGAGGAGCGAAAGCGUGGGGAGCGAACAGG